rnacentral:lncRNA from 1 species
GCCGCCGGGAAUUGUUCACCGGAGCAACUCCCCCACCGUGAAAAGACCCUGCCGCAAACCACCUUUUGUGCGUCGCCAUAUCUGGUAAGGCCCUUCUCAUCUAGUUCGUGAAGCCAUCCUUUUCGCGUAUCACCAAGCAGGGUUCGUAGUAGGGCUUCGGGUGAGUGUUGGGAUUUCUCCGGCGAGGCCCCACUGUAAUGGCUGGCGGUGCCGCUGCCUGGCAGCAGCGUGGGGAGGAGAAGGCGUCGGGGCAUUGAUGUUGUGAUUGAUGGCUCCAGAUGGAUGUUAGUGUGGUGUGUGCUUGACCAUUUGAUCUCGCAUGGGCGGCCAAUAUUAGGUCAAGGAUACCCCUUCAUGACUCGGGCGGGUGGUCGUUUGAUUGGGAUCCGAGGGUUGCGAUUGAAACUCGGGUAAUUAAAUCUGGGCCGCUGCUUGGGGAUCUAACAGUUGUCGUUGGGUACCACUUCAGGUUAACGCCCGAUUUAAUCUGCAUCGUCAGCCGAUGAUCGGACGGUCAGAUAUCAUCGAUACCCCUUCGGCGUGCUAGUUUUGCAAAAGAGUCCCUAGAUUUUAUUAGAAUCAACCCGCAGUCCUAUUGAAGUGCAGAAGUAAUUACAGAGCAGUUCAUCUUCUUUUAGAUAACACCCUGACUUUCAUGAAAAUAGUAGCUGUCGUCCAUUAAUGUUAUUUAGUUACAAAAAUUAAGUCAGAAAUUUGUUUUAGGGUAUAAAGUGAUUCAAUAAACUUAGAAAGUCCAUAACUUUUGCGAUCCAACUCUGUUUUAUUCCGUUCAAGUUGCGCUAGCUUCGAAAUAAAUUAUCUACACAGUAUCAACAUUAUCUUGGUCAUAUCAUACAUAUUUUAUAAUUAGACAUUUAUUUAUCCUAUGAUUAGUAGAUUUAUCUUACUAACCAAAGUUACUAUGUCUAUGAUUAUAAUGGGACUAAAAUAUGUUUGCUAAUCAAGUAUGAUUUGAUCAAGUGUAAGUUAGUUACUUCUUUGGGUUAUAUUUCUCACAUGAUUUAUAUUACUUAAAAUUGACCUAGAAUGUAGUUUUCCUAUUUAAACACUUAAAUCUUCAGAAAAUCAUAACUUUAUAACCAUAACUCUGAAUUUAGCAGUUCUCGAACCUAUGACCUCGUAGCGACGCGUAGAAUAUUAUUAUGUAGUUUGUACUUAUGUUUGGUGUGAUGUUAAUUUUGCCUAUACCAUGUUUGUUUGUAAUACUACGUUUAGCAGUGAGGUCACGAGUCACCUGAAGAGCAAGUUGGUACCUGGAAUCUCAAGUUCCAAGCAAGUUGUGCCCAUGAUCACUUUUAUUUACCCAAUAAUGUUCUCUAUAAUCAUUUUAUCAUGCACAGGCUUAAUUUUGAUGGGACCCAAUAGGUCACCCUAGUUUGGUCAUCUUUACACCUUGUUUAUCCCUGAACUAUUUGGGUAGUUUUUGCUAUUGCUCUAUAUGGUUUUGGGAUUAAUAUUACAUUAUGAUUAUGUUCCAAUUAUACUGUUGUUUUACAUAUUGUUCAUGACAAGAUCAUUUAUUAAUUGGAACAUGGAGCUUAACUUGAGAAACACGUGCCACCACAAGGGUGGAAUGGGACGCCCUUGGCUAACUAAUUAGGAAAGCUAGUGGAAGACUACCUUAUCCGAAAGGGGCAAGGGUAGUAGACGAGUAGGGCGUGUAGGGAGGUUCUCAGAUUGAUUUUGCUGCGAUAGCGGUCAGACGAGGGAUUCCUACAUUGCUCUUCCUAGAAACUGUAGCGGGUUUUCGGAAGCUAGUGGAACUUUGUAAAGGCCUCGUAGUGGAUCCCUAGCCAUUCACCUCAGAAGUGUCUAAGGGCCUUGCAAACCUUGGUGACAUGGGAUACAUGACUUGUGGGUACAGGGUACAACCUCUGCAUAGUGUAAAAAUGGUAUACUAGUUGUGCUCGUGGUCAUUAGCCGCUUAGGACUCUCACAUGAUUAAUUUAUGGAAUUAAAUUAAAUUUGUCAUAUGCAUUGCAUCGCGAGUGUUGUUAUCAAUUUUGAUUUAUUAUUACUCUGGUUUGGUAUCUACUUACACUUAGUAACUGCUAAUAAAAUUUUGACCAACUUUAAAAGCAAUGCUCAGCUUUAACCAUCCACUUUGAUAAGCCUUACACUUCACAUGGGCUCCCACCUUUGGCGAGUUCAUGCACAUUAUUCCACACAACUUGUUGAGCGAUGAACAUAUGUGAGCUCACCCUUGCUGUCUACACCCCCCAUAGGUCAAGAACAGGUACCGCAGGAUGAGGCGCAUGGAGGAUGCUGCGAUGUAUUCAUGAGAGGUCUAGGUCGUCGUCUCUCAGUCAACUUUGGGUUGCUGGAUCGUUGACUUCAUAUGAUGUAAUUAUUUAUUUAUUUUGCACAGAACUCCUAUAUAGUAAAGAUGUGACAUUCUUUUAUGUACCAUGAGUCAUCAUAUGUGUAAGACUUGGUCCUAGCACACCUGGUGAUUGCGUUCACGCCCGGGUCGACAGAGGAUCCUACGGCGCAAGGACC